rnacentral:rRNA from 1 species
AAUCUUCCACAAUGGACGGAAGUCCGAUGGAGCAACGCCGCGUGAGCGAAGAAGGUUUUCGGAUCGUAAAACUCUGUUGUUAGGGAAGAACAAGUACCGGAGUCACUGCCCGUACCUUUACGGUACCUUAUCAGAAAGCCACCGCUCACUACCUUCCCGCAGCCGCGGUAAUACGUAGGUGGCAAGCGUUGUCCGGAAUUAUUGGGCGUAAAGCGCGCGCAGGCGGUCCUUUAAGUCUGAUGUGAAAGCCCACGGCUCAACCGUGGAGGGUCAUUGGAAACUGGAGGACUUGAGUACAGAAGAGGAAAGCGGAAUUCCACGUGUAGCGGUGAAAUGCGUAGAGAUGUGGAGGAACACCAGUGGCGAAGGCGGCUUUCUGGUCUGUAACCGACGCUGAGGCGCGAAAGCGUGGGGAGCAAAC